ACAACAUGAGAAGCAAGUUGGUGUCGUUUAAAGAAGGCCAAGAAGUGUUUAAAAGAAAUUUCCAGUUGAGCAACUUUAGUCAAAACUACAAUAAAAAGUUAGGCCCGUUGUUUUCGAAAUGCAGAGUGAAGAAGAAAUUGGGAAACGCUUAUUAUUUGCUAGAAACCCUGAGUGGAAAAGAGCUAGGAACGUAUCAUGCCAAAGAUAUAAAAUGCUAAUUCCAGCUAAUCAUGUCUCCGGAUUACUCGACAGAUUAUCUGUGGUUGUAAUGGUCACCUGUGCUGCCCAUUCGAGUUUCAAAAAAAUUAGAUUAGAAUAACGUCUAAUCUUAACGAAACUCUCCACUUUUAUCGAUAGGUGUUAGCAAUUUUUUUUUGUUUUAUUCAUUCCUAAUGUGCAUACUAGGCGUUAGUACUUACCUUGACAUUAGCCCUAGCAGCUUAUUAGGUGCCUUCAAAAGUCUUUUUCUUUUUUGAGCUGUCAAACUAAGCAGACGCACACCUUAGUACCAGCUACAACAUAUACAUAAAUCAAGUGGGUGAAACACGUGCAAAGUGAUCACAACAAAAUAAAACAAAUUAAAUCUGAAAAAUCCCCACACAUCAUUGGAAAAAUAAGUAAAGCAAAGACAUCAGUAAAGUCGCAAACAAACCUAGCCUGGGAUCAGGCGUCUUCUAUGGCCGAAAAUCCACGAGAGUCCCACCCGCACCACCUGGAUUCCAUACCUGGAUCAUUACACAUAGUUUUUAUCAGGAUGAGUAACCCUAUCAAAGAUAAAAAAAAAAAAACACCCACUUAGUCUAUCCCGUCUACCUUUAUUCGCAAAUCAAUACUGAUACACCGGAUAGGAGAAAUUUCGGAUAUCACCUAUAAAUAUAAAAC